AACGGCAGCACGGACUUCGGUCUGGUGGUGAGUGGCGAACGGGUGAGUAAUGCAUCGGAACGUGCCCAGUCGUGGGGGAUAACUAGUCGAAAGAUAGCUAAUACCGCAUACGACCUGAGGGUGAAAGCGGGGGACCGUAAGGCCUCGCGCGAUUGGAGCGGCCGAUGUCUGAUUAGCUAGUUGGUGGGGUAAAGGCUCACCAAGGCGACGAUCAGUAGCGGGUCUGAGAGGAUGAUCCGCCACACUGGGACUGAGACACGGCCCAGACUCCUACGGGAGGCAGCAGUGGGGAAUUUUGGACAAUGGGGGAAACCCUGAUCCAGCCAUUCCGCGUGCAGGAAGAAGGCCUUCGGGUUGUAAACUGCUUUCGGACGGAAAGAAAUCGCCAUUCCUAAUACGAGUGGUGGAUGACGGUACCGUAAGAAGAAGCACCGGCUAACUACGUGCCAGCAGCCGCGGUAAUACGUAGGGUGCGAGCGUUAAUCGGAAUUACUGGGCGUAAAGCGUGCG
rnacentral:rRNA from 1 species